rnacentral:rRNA from 1 species
UCCAGACUCCUACGGGAGGCAGCAGUGGGGGAUAUUGCACAAUGGGGGGAACCCUGAUGCAGCGACGCCGCGCGGGUGAAGGAGCGUUUCGGCGCGUAAAGCCCUAUCGGCAGGGAAGAAGGAGGACGGUACCUGACUAAGAAGCCCCGGCUAACUACGUGCCAGCAGCCGCGGUAAUACGUAGGGGGCAAGCGUUAUCCGGAUUUACUGGGUGUAAAGGGGGCGCAGACGGCAGCGCAAGCCAGGAGUGAAAGCCCGGGGCCCAACCCCGGGACUGCUCUUGGAACUGCGCGGCUGGAGUGCAGGAGGGGCAGGCGGAAUUCCUGGUGUAGCGGUGAAAUGCGUAGAUAUCAGGAGGAACACCGGUGGCGAAGGCGGCCUGCUGGACUGCGACUGACGUUGAGGCCCGAAAGCGUGGGGAGCAAACAGGAUUAGAUACCCCGGUA